UUCACUUUUCAGGUAAGCGUGCACUUUGUUGCGGUGGGAUUUCUAACCGCAAGAAAACCGAAAAUUAGUUUUCGGAUUUUAGCCGAGAAGGGCACACGUUUCGGGGUGAAGUUGAGUAAAGGGUUGAGCAGUAUUUUUCGAUGGAUUUGUGGACUCAAGUCGUAUUUUGUAAUGUUGCAGAUUUACAUACUUCCGCAGCGAUUCCAACCCUACCGGCAAUUACAGGAAGUUUUAAGUGGCGCUUACCAAGAUCCCAUUCUCCAAGGGAAUUUACAGCUGGAUGCCAAUGACAUUCAGAAAUAUACGACCGUCGUUAAAUUCUUCAUGGCUUCCCGCCCAAUGCACCUCCAUCUAACGGUAAACGGAAUAAUGCCAGGAUUCCGGGGUGGGGGUAGAAUCCGCAGUUGCUAUUGGCCGGCUUCGACUGACGUCACCCGAACCAUUACAAAAUUGGCGGGACUUCUACAUCGUCCCUCCUCCGAUUGCCAUCAUCAGGAACUUAGUGGUGGGGGGUCAUACAAGUCGAUGGUAACCUACUAGAUAGAUGUCAAAUCCGGACCUCAACAUGGCGUUGGAUCCAGAGCACGAGCAGACAGACCCAAAACCCCUCUUUAUGGAUAUUAGCUGCUGAGCAAACCAAAUAAAAGGAAAAUUCAAUUAAAGCGCUGAAGCUUCCCAGUGCCGUAUUGCAUCAGUUUGAAUGCCAGACGUAAAAGCCUUCGGGAAAACUGGUUGGGGAUUUGUUUUAUUAUCGUUCUACUUCUGAGCAGAGGACCGAAUGGAGAAAUAGAUUUUGAUGAUAUUGCUUGCUAUU